rnacentral:rRNA from 1 species
AUUGAACGCUGGCGGCAGGCCUAACACAUGCAAGUCGAACGAGCGGCGGACGGGUGAGUAAUGUCUGGGAAUCUGCCUGAUGGAGGGGGAUAACUACUGGAAACGGUAGCUAAUACCGCAUACCAUCGGAUGUGCCCAUAUGGGAUUAGCUAGUAGGUGGGGUAAAGGCUCACCUAGGCGACGAUCCCUAGCUGGUCUGAGAGGAUGACCAGCCACACGGGAACUGAGACACGGUCCAGACUCCUACGGGAGGCAGCAGUGGGGAAUAUUGCACAAUGGGCGCAAGCCUGAUGCAGCCAUGCCGCGUGUGUGAAGAAGGCCUUAGGGUUGUAAAGCACUUUCAGCGAGGAGGCGUUACUCGCAGAAGAAGCACCGGCUAACUCCGUGCCAGCAGCCGCGGUAAUUC